rnacentral:rRNA from 1 species
GGUCCUGGGAUGGAGGCCUUCGGGCUCGACCUCCACCCUUUGUGAACACAACUUGUUGCUUCGGGGGCGACCCUGCCGUUUCGACGGCGAGCGCCCCCGGAGGCCUUCAAACACUGCAUCUUUGCGUCGGAGUUUAAGUAAAUUAAACAAAACUUUCAACAACGGAUCUCUUGGUUCUGGCAUCGAUGAAGAACGCAGCGAAAUGCGAUAAGUAAUGUGAAUUGCAGAAUUCAGUGAAUCAUCGAAUCUUUGAACGCACAUUGCGCCCCUUGGUAUUCCGAGGGGCAUGCCUGUUCGAGCGUCAUUUCACCACUCAAGCCUCGCUUGGUAUUGGGCGCCGCGGUGUUCCGCGCGCCUCAAAGUCUCCGGCUGAGCUGUCCGUCUCUAAGCGUUGUGAUUUCAUUAAUCGCUUCGGAGCGCGGGCGGUCGCGGCCGUUAAAUCUUUUACAAGGUUGACCUCGGAUCAGGUAGGGAUACCCGCUGAACUUAAGCAUAUCAAAAGCCGGAGGAA